rnacentral:lncRNA from 1 species
CCGGCCGUCGAACAGGUCUGUAGUUUUCUUGUCUUAUGGCGAUGUGUGUGGAAGACAGGAUCAGUAGUUUCCCUGAUCAUAUUCUUUGUCAUAUUUUGUCAUUCCUUCCCAUCGAAGAAGCAGUUCGAACCUCUAUUAUUUCAACCAAGUGGAGAUACCUCUUUGCUUCAAUUUCUACCAUUAAAUUUGAUGGUUAUUUAAUUAGUGGUUUGACUGAAAGAAAUCUUGACAGUUUCAAGAACUUUGUUGAUAGGUUAUUAAAAUUCCCCGAUCAGGUAAGUUUAGAUUGCUUUAGGCUAAAUGAUAUUAUUUCAUGGAAUGAUGAAGAUCAUAAUUUUGAUGUUUCUGAUUGGAUAUGUGCUGCACUGUGCCGUGGUGUUAAGGAAAUUGAUUUGGACUUAGAGAAUCUUGGGGAUAUUUUACCAGCUCUUUUAUUCACUUGCCACUCACUGGUGACGCUGAAAUUGGUUGCAGUAGAUUCUGAGAUUAAGGUCCCAUCUGACGUUUGUUUAGGGAAUCUGAAGACUUUGCAGCUUAUAAACUCGGAAUUUGUAGGUGAUUCCAUUCAUAGGUUAAUUUCGAAUUGCCAUGUCUUAGAAGAUUUGGCUUUUAUUAAUUGUGAUUUUGAAUAUUUGCGUGAGGAGGUCAAUAUCCAAAGUCCUUCGCUUAAGAGAUUGGUUUUAGUUUUUGAUCUUGUAGAAUUCGAAAAUAUAGAUUAUGUGGUGGUGAUUAAUGCUCCAAAUCUUGUUUAUUUUCAAUAUACUGAUACAGUAGUUAAAGGCUAUACUUUGACUAACAUGAAGUGUCUAGAAAAAGCCCAUAUUAACAUCUGGGAAAGUGAUUCCAUUGAUUGUGAAACAAGUGCAACUCAUCUUAUUCAAGGACUUCGCAAUGUGCGGUCUCUAAGUUUAACCCCUGAUGAAGCGGUUAGUAAACUUAGCAUUCAUGUGUGAUUUUCCUUCUAACGUUAUACAAUUUAACAUUAUAUAAUAGCUCCAAGUUUUUGUCUGUGCAGAUUUUCCUAACAAAUCGACUUCCUAUAUUUCACAACCUUAUUGAAUUCGAAUAUGAUAGUCAUGGUUUUGAUGGGAUAGAAACUUGGCUUGUGGAGUUUCUACAUUGUGCGCCUAAUCUAGAGACACUUACCCUCAAUUUUCCGGUAUGAAGUCUUUGUCUAAGUUCGUGUGUAUUCGUUGCAGUUUAUUGUUUUAGUGUCAGUUACAUCCAAAGUUAUGAUAAAGUUAAAAGAAAUCGAAAGCAUGUUCGAGAUCACCUAAAUUCAUGGUACAAACCAAAUAACUUUUCUUCUUUUUUCAUGAGUUUAGGAUGUUGCAGGAACUCGACGGAAGGCUUUACCUAUAGAAGUUCCUUCUUGUUUGUCAUUUCAUCUAAAGGAGAUUGAAAUUUCAUGCUUUGAGACACAUAUAAUUGAAAUGGUUAGUUAUUUCUUGGAUAAUGCAAUGGUUUUGGAAAAUCUCAUAAUCAGAAUGAAGGGCAUGACUGUGACACAGAAAACGAAAGUCAUCAACCAAUUAUUGCAGUUACUAAAGAGUUCAAAGAAAUGUCUAAUUGUGAUUUUGUAGUACUGUUUUAUAUUAUGGUUAGAACUUAUCAGUGUCUGGUUUGGUUUUGUAUAGAUGUGUUGUUUGUAAUAUAUAUUUCACUGUUAAUAUCCGAUACAUUCACUAAUCACAAUAGACUAUACCUGAUGGUUGGUUUAUAUGUAUACUUGUGUAUAUAAUGUAUUUUAGCCGAAAGUAGCCUUUGAAAUUGAUAUGUAGCCCCAUGAUUGGCAAAACAGAAACAUAUUUUAAUUUGUAAGAAACAAUCGUAUGAUAUGCGUUACACAACAAGCUCUGACAGGAAGAAUAUCAGAUUGAUUUGGAGCUAUUUUAGAACAAGAAAAAGGGGAGCUCUCUAGUUAUGUGGAUUUGUACAUUCUUACCAACAGCAAAGAAGGCUUCCAUUGUUCCUGUUAUAGGCUAGCUUUGGUUCAACACGGGCCAUUGAAGAUGAAGGUUUGAGACCUUGAGAUUUUAGCCUGCUAGAAUACAGGAAUUUAGCUUUCCUAGGACUGAAAUGAUGUUUAAAUGAUGCUUGCGCCUUACAGGUCAGUCAGUGUUGAACAUUUUUUGAAGGCUUUUGAAUGGUCAGAUUCUUGUGAAAUGCAAAUUCGGUUGAGUCAAAAUAUUUUAAUUUAAUGGGGGUUUGGAUUUUUUUUUUUUUUUUGCAUCUAUGUGGCUGAAAAUUAUAAAUUUUAUAAUGUAAUCCAUCUUUCUUCUCUUAUUUGCUAGCAACUUUUGAUGUAUAUAUGGUGUUCUUGUGAUUGAAUGUCACAAAUAUGCUAGCAACUUGUGAUUUUAUAAAAAAAUUUAAAUAAUUUAAUGAUUAUUUUAUAAUUUUUAAAAUUUAAUGAUUAAAAUGUAUAUUUACUAAAAAUUUAGUAAGCUGGGAUGUAGUUAAAACCAAAUCAGGUACCAAUAAGUUUUAACCAUAUCAUAAAAUAGUACCAAGAAACCCCUCCAGUGUAACAUAACACCAGUGUAACAUAACAUCGACAAGAGGCUGAAGAUUUGCCAAUCAAAUUUUACUGUAAUACGCUCCCAUAAUAUUCACAAUGCAUAAUGACGGAAAUUUCUUGGUAGAAGUACCAUCAAGGCCCUUUUAUUGAGAGUUAAAUUGUAUUUUACCUCUUUUAUUUAAAAAAAUAAGUAAAUUAAUCUUGCUAUAUUAGAUCAAAAAGCAUAUUGGUUAUUUUGCUAAAAAUAUCAUCCCUUUGGUGACGACUUAUAAGAAUCAAUUUUUAAUGGUAGGAAUGAAUGAUAAAUGAAAAUUUAAUAAAAAGACUAAUUUACUUUUUAAUUUAACAUGUAAGAACAAAUUUACUUAUUUUUUAAGUAAAAGGUGAAAAUACAAUCUAACUCUUAGUAAAAAUGCCUUGAUAAUACUUUUCCCAAAUUAAUUUUGAGAUGAUAUUUUAACAGAAGAAUGCACCAGAAGUCAAGAGAUGAAGAUGAGAGUUGAUAUUAUCAACACUGACAGACCUGUAAGGCGCAAGCUUUGGUGUCAAUGGUGUGAGUUCUAUAGUCAAAUUAAGGGAUCUUCAAACAUGAUUUCAUUCCUAGAGAAUCUAAAUUCCAGUAUUCUGGCAGGCUAAAAUCUAAAGUUCUCAAACCUUCAUUUCCAAUGGCCUGUGCUGAAUCAAAGCUAGCCUACAACAGGAACACUGGAAGCGUAGUCUUUCUUUUGGUUACAAUACAUAUAUAUAUUUAUGCAUAUAAUUUUAUUUGAAUUACUUGGUAACUGCAAUAAUUGUUUGCAGACUUUCCAUUACCGUCUCCCAGACAGGGUUCACAUCCUUAUCAUGAGCUUUUCCCGUACCAUUGCAUUAUCAAAGAAAUAAGUAAUCAUUUCAAACAAACAAGAAGGAACUUGUAUAGGUAAAACCUUCCAUGGAGUUUCCACACCAUCCUAAACUCAUGAAAAAAGUGAUUUGGUUUGUACCAUGAAGUAAAGGUGAUCUCGAGCAUGCUUUUGGUUUCUUCUAAGUGUGAGGGUAAGUGUCAUGGCAAGUAAAUGAAAGAGCUGGUGAAGUGAGAACAUCCCCAAUAUUAGCUAAAUGUAAAUCACUUUCCUUAACAUCUUGGCACAAGGCAGUCAUUCCAAGAAAUCCCAUCACUCAGCCUAAAUCGAUCUGAACUUACCUGAUUGGGGGAUUUCAAUAACCUAUCAACAAAGUUGUUGAAGCUGCUAACAUUUCUGUCAGUCAAACUUCAAUGCGUUGCUAUCAUAUUCCUUAUUGCAGGAGGCGGAGCAGGAUCAAUAUGGUCGCAUAACAACAUGUAAGAUGAAUGAUUUGGUUCAUGAUCUUGCAAAUCCAUUUCUCAUAUUAGACAAGAAAAUGUUGUUAAUGGUGUGAGAUUGUGGCACUCUUUGUUCUUCGAGUCUAGCUCCAUCCGUGCUGUAAGGGACUUCAAAAGCUUACGAGUUCUUAUUUUUUGUGAGUCUCCUUGUCACUCUCUAUUGGCAGGCUAAAGCAUUUAAGGUACUUUGAGAUUUCAAGAACUUACAUAUGUAGAUUACCAAUGUCAUCGGGCAGCUCUACCAUUUGCAGACAUUCAAGAUUAUUUGGUUAUCAAGGGUGCUUGCCUCAAGGGACGGAACUACUUGUUCCAGUUACUAACCAAUUUGGUCUGUUCUGGUUGAACUAUGUAAGGUGACAUCCAAUCAUCCAUGUCGUAAUAAACUGACCAACCUGUGAAGCACAAGCAUUGGUGGUGUGAGUUCCAUAGUCAAAUCAGGGGUGGUGAUGUCCCAGUAGCUUCAAACAUCAAUUCAUCACAGAGAGGCUAAAUUUCAGUAUUCUAAGAGGCUAAAUCCCAAAGUUCUCAAACCUUCAUUUUCAAUCGCCUGUCUUAAACCAAAGUUAGUAGUAGCCUUUAACAGGAACAAUGGAAGCCUUCUUUGCUGCUUAUAAGAAUGUACUAAUCUCCAUAGCUUGAUGUUCCUUUUCUCUUACAGCUUCUUGUGUAAUGUAUAUAAUUUCAAACAUAUGUGCAUCUCCUUGAAUUGAAAUGAUAAACAAGAAGAAACUUCUCUUGGUAAACCCUUCAAUAUAGUUUUCCCAACAGCCCAAGCUCAUGAGAAAAAAGAAGAAAAAUGUUAUCUGGUUUGUAACAUGGAUUUAGGUGAUCUCGAACAGGUUUCCAUUUCUUUUUAAGUUUAUCCUAAUUGUGAAUAUAACCGACACUAAGCCAAUCAAUGGAUCGCUGAUAAGUAUAUUUAGAUUAGGCACACAUAUCAUGUCUUGUUCAUUUCUUCUGGAGAUGAUGGGGCUUACAUACUUCAUACUUGAUCAAUCAAGAAAAGACAUGAAAGAAUAGUACAGGUAUUAAAUAUGACAUUUACUUUGUAUAUGUAUUAUAUUGCACAUUGGAUAAAAGUUAAGGGACCAUUUUUGAUAUUAACCUUAAAUCUUAUAUAAAGGUACGGGAAAACGAAAAUAGUCAUCUCUUUUCACAUUUAACACUAAAUAUUUGUAUCCCUAGCUGCUUCUACGAAAGCAUUCUUCACAGCCACUCACGACGGUCGUCAGCUUUCUCAGCUCAGCUUCCCGGACCUCCUCUAUACUCAAGUCUUCAAAGUUUGCUCAGAAGCCAGACAUAAGCUAGUGAAGCCGAACCACAAAACAAAAGGGGAAAACAAUCCGGUUCCUAUCGACGGCCGUCGGGCAGGUCUGUAGUUUUCUUACCUUAUGGCGAUGUGUGUGGAAGACAGGAUCAGUAGUUUUCCGGAUCAUAUUCUUUUUCAUAUUUUGUCUUUCCUUCCCAUUAAAGAAGCAGUUCGAACCUCUAUUAUUUCAACCAAGUGGAGAUACCUCUUUGCUUCAAUUUCUACCAUUAAAUUUGAUGGUUCUUUAAUGAGUGGUUUGACUGACAGAAAUGUUGACAGCUUCAAGAACUUUGUUGAUAGGUUAUUGAAAUUCCCCGAUCAGGUAAGUUUAGAUUGCUUUGGGCUAAAUGAUAUUGUUUCAUGGAAUGAUAGAGAUCAUAAUUUUGAUGUUUCUGAUUGGAUAUGUGCUGCACUGUGCCGUGGUGUUAAGGAAAUUGAUCUGGACUUAGAGAAUCUUGGGGAUAUUUUACCAGCUCUUUUAUUCACUUGCCACUCACUGGUCACAUUGAAAUUGGUUGCAUUAGGUUCUGAGAUUAAGGUCCCAUCUGACGUUUGUUUAGGGAAUCUGAAGACUUUGCAGCUUGGAAACUCGGUACUUUUCGGUGAUUCCAUUCAUAGGUUAAUUUCCAAUUGCCAUGUCUUAGAAGAUUUGGCUGUUAUUGAAUGUCGUUUUGAUAAUAUAAGUGAGGUCAAUAUCCAAAGUCCUUGGCUUAAGAGAUUAGUUUUAGUUUUUAAUCUUGACGUAUUCGGCAAUAUAGAUUAUGUGUUGGUGAUUAAUACUCCAAAUCUUGUUUAUUUUCAAUAUACUGACGCAGUAGUUGAAGGCUAUAAUUUGACUAACAUGAAGUCUCUAGAAAAAGCCCAUAUUAACAUCUGCGAGAGUGAUUCCAUUGAUUGUGAAACAAGUGCAACUCAUCUUAUUCAAGGAAUUCGCAAUGUGCGGUCUCUAAGUUUAACCACUGAUGCAGCGGUUAGUAAACUUAGGAUUCAUGUGUGAUUUUCCUUCUAACAUUAUACAAUUUAACAUUAUAUAAUAGCUCCAAGUUUUUGUUUGUGCAGAUUUUCCUAACUAGUCGACUUCCUAUAUUUCACAACCUUAUUGAAUUCGAAUAUUGUGGUCUUGGUUUUGAUGGGAUAGAAACUUGGCUUGUGGAGUUUCUACAUUGUGCGCCUAAUCUAGAGACAUUUACCCUCAAUUUUCCGGUAUGAAGUCUGUGUCUAAGUUUGUGUGUAUUCGUUGCAGUUUAUUGUUUUAGUGUCAGUUAUAUCCACAGUUAUGAUAAAUUUAAAAAAAAUCGAAAGCAUGUUCGAGAUCACCUAAAUUCAUGGUACAAAGCAAAUAACUUUUCUUCUUUUUUCAUGAGUUUAGGUUGAUGCGAGAAUUCAAUGGAAGGUUUUACCUGUAAAAGUUCCGUCUUGUUUGUCAUUUCAUCUAAAGGAGAUUGAAAUUUCAUGCUCUGAGACACAUAUAAUUGAAAUGGUUAGUUAUUUCUUGAAUAAUGCAAUGGUUUUGGAAAAUCUCAUAAUAAGAAUGAAGGCCAUGACUGUGACACAGAAAAGGAAAGUCAGCAACCAAUUAUUGCAGUUACUAAAGAGUUCAAAGAAAUGUCUAAUUGUGAUUUUGUAGUACUGUUUUAUAUUAUGGUUAGAAUUACUUAUCACUGUCUGGUUUGGUUUUGUAUAGAUGUGUUGUUUGUAAUAUAUAUUUCACUGUUAAUAUCCAAUACAUUCACUAAUCGCAAUAGACUAUACCUGAUGGUUGGUUUAUAUGUAUGUGUGUAUGUAUACUUGUGUAUAUAAUGUAUACAAAACCAAAUCAGGUACCAAUAAGUUUUAACCAUAACAUAAAAUAGUACCAAGAAACCCCUCCAGCCAUAACAUAAAAUAGUACCAAGAAACCCCUCCAGUCUAACAUAACAUCGACAAGAGGCUGAAGAUCUGCCAAGCAAAUUUUACUCUAAUACGCUCUUAUAAUAUUCACAAUACAUAAUGACAGAAAUUUCUUGGUAGAAGUACCAUCAACGCUCUUUUACUAAGAGUCAAAUUGUAUUUUGCUUCUUUUAUUUUUAAAAUGAGUAAAUUAGUCUUCUUAUAUUAGAUAAAAAAGCAUAUUGGCUAUUUUUGUUAAAAAUAUCAUCCCUUUGUAACGUUAAAACCAAACAUGACUGAUAAAAUAAUCACGUCACGACUCACAUGUAUCUCAAGCUGACGACUUAUAAGAAUCAAUUUUUAAUAGUAGGAAUGAAUGAUGAAUGAAAGUUUAAUAGAAAGAUCAAUUUACUUUUUAAUUUAACAUAUAAGAGCAAAUUUACUUAUUUUUUAAGUAAAGGGUCAAAAUACAAUCUUAACUCUUAGUAAAAAGGCCUUGAUAAUACUUUUCCCAAAUUAAUUUUGAGAUGAUAUUUUAACAGAAGAAUGCACCAGAGGUCCAGAGAUGAAGAUUAGAGUUGAUAUAAUCAACACUGACAGACCUGUAAGGCGCAAGCUUUGGUGUCAAUGGUGUGAGUUCUAUAGUCAAAUUAAGGGAUCUUCAAACAUGAUUUCAUUCCUAGAGAAUCUAAAUUCCAGUAUUCUGGCAGGCUAAAAUCUAAAGUUCUCAAACCUUCAUUUCCAAUGGCCUGCUGAAAUCAAAGCUAGCCUACAACAGGAACACUGGAACCGUAGGCUUUCUUUUGGUUACAAUACAUAUAUAUUUAUGCAUAUAAUUUUAUUUGAAUUACUUGGUAACUGCAAUAAUUGUUUGCAGACUUUCCAUUACCGUCUCCCAGACAGGGUUCACAUCCUUAUCAUGAGCUUUUCCAGUACCAUUGCAUUAUCAAAGAAAUAAGUAAUCAUUUCAAACAAACAAGAAGGAACUUGUAUAGGUAAAACCUUCCAUGGAGUUUCCACACCAUCCUAAACACAUGAAAAAAGUGAUUUGGUUUGUACCAUGAAGUAAAGGUGAUCUCGAACAUGCUUUUGGUUUCUUCUAAGUGUGAAGGUAAGUGUCAUGGCAAGUAAAUGAAAGAGCUGGUGAAGUGAGAACAUCCCCAAUAUUAGCUAAAUGUAAAUCACUUUCCUUAACAUCUUGGCACAAGGCAGUCAUUCCAAGAAAUCCCAUCACUCAGCCUAAAUCGAUCUGAACUUACCUGAUUGGGGGAUUUCAAUAACCUAUCAACAAAGUUGUUGAAGCUGCUAACAUUUCUGUCAGUCAAACUUCAAUGCGUUGCUAUCAUAUUCCUUAUUGCAGGAGGUGGAGCAGGAUCAAUAUGGUCGCAUUACAACAUGUAAGAUGAAUGAUUUAGUUCAUGAUCUUGCAAAUCCAUUUCUCAUAUUAGACAAGAAAAUGUUGUUAAUGGUGUGAGAUUGUGGCACUCUUUGUUCUUCGAGUCUAGCUCCAUCCGUGCUGUAAGGGACUUCAAAAGCUUACGAGUUCUUAUUUUUUGUGAGUCUCCUUGUCACUCUCUAUUGGCAGGCUAAAGCAUUUAAGGUACUUUGAGAUUUCAAGAACUUACAUAUGUAGAUUACCAAUGUCAUCGGGCAGCUCUACCAUUUGCAGACAUUCAAGAUUAUUUGGUUAUCAAGGGUGCUUGCCUCAAGGGACGGAACUACUUGUUCCAGUUACUAACCAAUUUGGUCUGUUCUGGUUGAACUAUGUAAGGUGACAUCCAAUCAUCCAUGUCGUAAUAAACUGACCAACCUGUGAAGCACAAGCAUUGGUGGUGUGAGUUCCAUAGUCAAAUCAGGGGUGGUGAUGUCCCAGUAGCUUCAAACAUCAAUUCAUCACAGAGAGGCUAAAUUUCAGUAUUCUAAGAGGCUAAAUCCCAAAGUUCUCAAACCUUCAUUUUCAAUCGCCUGUCUUAAACCAAAGUUAGUAGUAGCCUUUAACAGGAACAAUGGAAGCCUUCUUUGCUGCUUAUAAGAAUGUACAAAUCUCCAUAGCUUGAUGUUCCUUUUCUCUUACAGCUUCUUGUGUAAUGUAUAUAAUUUCAAACAUAUGUGCAUCUCCUUGAAUUGAAAUGAUAAACAAGAAGAAACUUCUCUUGGUAAACCCUUCAAUAUAGUUUUCCCAACAGCCCAAGCUCAUGAGAAAAAAGAAGAAAAAUGUUAUCUGGUUUGUAACAUGGAUUUAGGUGAUCUCGAACAGGUUUCCAUUUCUUUUUAAGUUUAUCCUAAUUGUGAAUAUAACCGACACUAAGCCAAUCAAUGGAUCGCUGAUAAGUAUAUUUAGAUUAGGCACACAUAUCAUGUCUUGUUCAUUUCUUCUGGAGAUGAUGGGGCUUACAUACUUCAUCCUUGAUCAAUCAAGAAAAGACAUGAAAGAAUAGUACAGGUAUUAAAUAUGACAUUUACUUUGUAUAUGUAUUAUAUUGCACAUUGGAUAAAAGUUAAGGGACCAUUUUUGAUAUUAACCUUAAAUCUUAUAUAAAGGUACGGGAAAACGAAAAUAGUCAUCUCUUUUCACAUUUAACACUAAAUUUUUGUAUCCCUAGCUGCUUCUACGAAAGCAUUCUUCACAGCCACUCACGACGAUCGUCAGCUUUCUCAGCUCAGCUUCCCGGACCUCCUCUAUACUCAAGUCUUCAAAGUUUGCUCCGAAGCCAGACAUAAGCUAGUGAAGCCGAACCACAAAACAAAAGGGAAAAACAAUCCGGUUCCUAUCGCCGGCCGUCGGACAGGUCUGUAGUUUUCUUACCUUAUGGCGAUGUGUGUGGAAGACAGGAUCAGUAGUUUUCCGGAUCAUAUUCUUUUUCAUAUUUUGUCUUUCCUUCCCAUUAAAGAUGCAGUUCGAACCUCUACUAUUUCUACCAAGUGGAGAUACCUCUUUGCUUCAAUUUCUACCAUUAAAUUUGAUGGUUCUUUAAUGAGUGGUUUGACUGACAGAAAUGUUGACAGCUUCAAGAACUUUGUUGAUAGGUUAUUGAAAUUCCCCGAUCAGGUAAGUUUAGAUUGCUUUAGGCUAAAUGAUA